rnacentral:Y_RNA from 1 species
GGCUGAUCCAAUGGUAGUGGGUUAUCAGAACUUAUUAACAUUAGUGUCACUAAAGUUGGUAUACAACCCCACACUGUGAAAUUGGCUGGCUUUUU